rnacentral:rRNA from 1 species
GAUGAACGCUGGCGGUGUGCCUAAUACAUGCAAGUCGAGCGAACAGACGAGGAGCUUACUCCUCUGACGUUAGCGGCGGACGGGUGAGUAACACGUGGAUAACCUACCUAUAAGACUGGGAUAACUUCGGGAAACCGGAGCUAAUACCGGAUAACAUGUUGAACCGCAUGGUUCAACAGUGAAAGACGGUCUUGCUGUCACUUAUAGAUGGAUCCGCGUCGCAUUAGCUAGUUGGUAAGGUAACGGCUUACCAAGGCAACGAUGCGUAGCCGACCUGAGAGGGUGAUCGGCCACACUGGAACUGAGACACGGUCCAGACUCCUACGGGAGGCAGCAGUAGGGAAUCUUCCGCAAUGGGCGAAAGCCUGACGGAGCAACGCCGCGUGAGUGAAGAAGGUCUUCGGAUCGUAAAACUCUGUUAUUAGGGAAGAACAUAUGUGUAAGUAACUAUGCACGUCUUGACGGUACCUAAUCAGAAAGCCACGGCUAACUACGUG